rnacentral:rRNA from 1 species
UGAAUACGAGAUGCUACGGCGUCGAAGCAGUGUAUGUCAGACUUCCAAGAAAAGCUCGCAAUGUCAUAAAUAAAUAAUGCCUGUACCAUAACCGACACAGGUGGGUAGGUAGAGUAUACUAAGGGGCGCGAGAUAACUCUCUCUAAGGAACUCGGCAAAAUAACUCCGUAACUUCGGGAGAAGGAGUGCCUUAUUUAUAAGGUUGCAAUAACAAGAUCCAAGCAACUGUUUAUCAAAAACACAGGUCUCCGCUAAGUCGUAAGACGAUGUAUGGGGGCUGACGCCUGCCCAGUGCCAGAAGGUUAAAGAAGUUGGUUAGCAUUGCGAAGCUGAUGACUGAAGCCCUGGUGAACGGCGGCCGUAACAAUAACGGUCCUAAGGUAGCGAAAUUCCUUGUCGGGUAAGUUCCGACCCGCACGAAAGGCGUAAUGAUUUGGAUACUGUCUCGGAGAGGGACUCGGUGAAAUAGACUUGUCUGUGAAGAUGCGGACUACCUGCACCAGGACAGAAAGACCCUAUGAAGCUUUACUGUAACUUGAAAUUGAAAUUGGACUUUAUUUGCGCAGUAUAGGUGGGAGGCGUUGAAAAUAAUCUCGCGGGAUUAUUGGAGCCAUCAGUGAGAUACCACUCCUAUAAUGUUAGAUUUCUAACUUUGUAUCAUUAUCUGGUCAAAGAACAGUUUCAGGCGGGCAGUUUGACUGGGGCGGUCGCCUCCUAAAUGGUAACGGAGGCGUACAAAGGUUUCCUCUGAACGGGUAGUAAUCGUAUCUAGAGUAUAAAGGCAUAAGGAAGCUUGACUGUGAGACCUACAAGUCGAGCAGGGACGAAAGUCGGUCUUAGUGAUCUGACGGUGCUGAGUGGAAAGGCCGUCACUCAACGGAUAAAAGUUACUCUAGGAUAACAGGCUGAUCUCCCCCAAGAGUUCACAUCGACGGGGAGGUUUGGCACCUCGAUGUCGGCUCAUCGCAUCCUGGGGCGGUAGUACGUCCCAAGGGUUGGGCUGUUCGCCCAUGAAAGCGGUACGCGAGCUGGGUUCAGAACGUCGUGAGACAGUUCGGUCCAUAUCCGGUGUAGGCGUUAGAAUAUUGAGAGGAGCCUUCUUUAGUACGAGAGGACCGAGAAGGACAUACCUCUGGUGUACCAGUUAUCGUGCCAACGGUAAACGCUGGGUAGCUAUGUAUGGAGUGGAUAACCGCUGAAAGCAUCUAAGUGGGAAGCCCACCUUAAGAUGAG